rnacentral:rRNA from 1 species
AUACGGAGGGUGCAAGCGUUACUCGGAAUCACUGGGCGUAAAGCGCGCGCAGGCGGUCUUUUAAGUUGGAUGUGAAAGCCUACGGCUCAACCGUAGAACUGCAUCCAAAACUAUUAGACUAGAGUGUGGGAGAGGAAGAUGGUAUUAGUUGUGUAGGGGUAAAAUCCGUAGAGAUAACUAGGAGUACCAAAAGCGAAGGCAAUCUUCUGGAACACUACUGACGCUGAGGCGCGAAAGCGUGGGGAGCAAACAGGAUUAGAUACCCUAGUAGUCC